rnacentral:rRNA from 1 species
CGUAGGGUGCGAGCGUUAAUCGGAAUUACUGGGCGUAAAGCGUGCGCAGGCGGUUUAGUAAGACAGGCGUGAAAUCCCCGGGCUCAACCUGGGAACUGCGCUUGUGACUGCUAAGCUAGAGUACGGCAGAGGGGGUGGAAUUCCACGUGUAGCAGUGAAAUGCGUAGAGAUGUGGAGGAACACCAAUGGCGAAGGCAGCCCCCUGGGUCGAUACUGACGCUCAUGCACGAAAGCGUGGGUAGCAAACAGGAUUAGAUACCCUGGUAGUCCACGCCCUAAACGAUGUCAACUAGGUGUUGGGAGGGUAAAACCUUUUAGUACCGGAGCUAACGCGUGAAGUUGACCGCCUGGGGAUACGGCCGCAAGGUU